UUGCUGAAAGAAAAGGUAGUUUUCACAAGAGCUGGAGAGAGAUAGUUCACAUGCUUGCAGUUUGCGACGCCAUCAGAUAGCAGCUGCAUCUCCCUGACUUGUAAAAACUUGCCUUCACUGUAAUGAGGCUUGGCAACAGUGAGCCCAUUGCAGCUUCUGUUCCUGACGGUAUUUGAGAGUAAUGGACAAGGCAAUUUUGUUGUUCAUAUGUUGGUUGACCAUAUGGUAGACCAUCUAGGUUGAUGCUACUUUUUGUACACAGAAGUGAAUGCCUGGUAUACUGUGGCUUCAAUCUAAGAAACAGUUUUUUGGUUUUAUCCUAAUCUCUCUUUCUGACUGAACUGUGAUACGAUGCUGGAUCAGUAUCCUUGGCUAAUUCUUUUCAAGGCUUUUCUUCUGCAUUCAGCAUAAGUGAGCUUGGAUGUUUCACGUGAUGAACUUUAGCAAUGGUUACUUUUGCAUUUGCUUACACGGCGCUGAAUACAUGAGGAUACUGCUCUUACAUAGCAUAAAGUACUUCAUGUGGUGUGUUUCAUUCGGAAAGUGGCACGCGCAGGAAUAAAGGCCCAGAGGAAUACAACCCUUCUACCUCACACAAAAAUAAGACUGAAUAUGUCCUGAGAUCAAGAACCUUAGUUGACCAAGAGCCCAGUCGAAUACCGCUGGAAGGAGAGCAGUCCUGAACUGCAGUUUCUGUUCCCAGUCCUGUGACUGUUGAGAGGCCAAACAGGAUCCUGUACAACUUGAA